rnacentral:rRNA from 1 species
CCUACGGGAGGCAGCAGUGAGGAAUAUUGGUCAAUGGACGAGAGUCUGAACCAGCCAAGUAGCGUGAAGGAUGACUGCCCUAUGGGUUGUAAACUUCUUUUAUAUGGGAAUAAAAUGUUCCACGUGUGGGAUUUUGUAUGUACCAUAUGAAUAAGGAUCGGCUAACUCCGUGCCAGCAGCCGCGGUAAUACGGAGGAUCCGAGCGUUAUCCGGAUUUAUUGGGUUUAAAGGGAGCGUAGGUGGAUUGUAAAGUCAGUUGUGAAAGUUUGCGGCUCAACCGUAAAAUUGCAGUUGAAACUGGCAGUCUUGAGUACAGUAGAGGUGGGCGGAAUUCGUGGUGUAGCGGUGAAAUGCUUAGAUAUCACGAAGAACUCCGAUUGCGAAGGCAGUUCACUGGACUGCAACUGACACUGAGGCUCGAAAGUGUGGGUAUCAAACAGGAUUAGAUACCCGUGUAGUC